GCGGAGGUCGCAUAGUCUGGCCAAUUGCGCAGGACUUAAGAUCCUGUUCCUUAGUGGAUUCGAGGGUUCAAAUCCCCCCCUCCGCA
rnacentral:tRNA from 1 species